rnacentral:rRNA from 1 species
GACGAACGCUGGCGGCGUGCCUAAUACAUGCAAGUAGAACGCACAGUUUAUACCGUAGCUUGCUACACCAUAAACUGUGAGUUGCGAACGGGUGAGUAACGCGUAGGUAACCUGCCUGGUAGCGGGGGAUAACUAUUGGAAACGAUAGCUAAUACCGCAUAAUAUUGAUUAUUGCAUGAUAAUUGAUUGAAAGAUGCUAUUGCAUCACUACCAGAUGGACCUGCGUUGUAUUAGCUAGUAGGUGAGGUAACGGCUCACCUAGGCGACGAUACAGAGCCGACCUGAGAGGGUGAUCGGCCACACUGGGACUGAGACACGGCCCAGACUCCUACGGGAGGCAGCAGUAGGGAAUCUUCGGCAAUGGACGAAAGUCUGACCGAGCAACGCCGCGUGAGUGAAGAAGGUUUUCGGAUCGUAAAGCUCUGUUGUAAGAGAAGAACGGGUGUGAGAGUGGAAAGUUCACACUGUGACGGUAUCUUACCAGAAAGAGACGGCUAACUACGUG